rnacentral:lncRNA from 1 species
AUGCUGACUGGCUGCCUCUGUAUGAACUGGAUGAGGUGGCCGUAAAUGUCAUCGAAACCUAUGGCAUCAGCAAGGAAAAGGAUCUGGUGCAGAAGAUGCAGUACCUGAACUGUAUUUGCUCACUGUGCAGCGCUGCUGAACAGAAGGGCUUGACAGUGUACCUGGAUAUCUUCUGCUUCCUAAACAAUGUGACAGAGAACAUUGAGGUGAGGGGACAUGGCACCCAGGUACCCUGUAAGAAGGACAGAGCAGGGGGAGAGGGAGGCAGGGAAAUCAUGCACAGACACCAAAGUUCCCCAGAUGAGACUCCAGGUGCUGCUGAGACCUCAGCAGUGGAGGCAGACAGCAGCACCAGUGUGACAGGGUUUGCUGAGGGCCACUGGGGAGACACAGGCCCUACCGGUCAGUGGCAGGUUUUCUGUUGGUGGGUGCUGGCAGCUGCCAGGUGCCAUCCUGAUUUGAUUGUGCUUUGCAGGUUCUGUUGUGUGAGGAGCCCAGGGAUCAGCUGAACACAGCUCUAAGAUACCACUGCAUGAAUGCGAUUGCUGCAAUGAGCCAAGUGGAAGCAAUUUCGGAGGAAGAACUAUUACAUCUUUUAAAAGCGUGCUGCAGAGUCAUCUUCUGCCUUCCUCCAACCAGGGAAUUGAACAUUUGCCUCUACAACCAUACCCUGGAUGCUAUGGACAACAUGCUGGAGGCUAUGCUGUACCACUGUCCCACCGCCAGUUUCAAUAGUCUGCUGCAGAGAAUCUUUGAGGUGCUGCGGCCCUUCACCAUUUCUGAUAGCAAAACUGUGCGCGACAGGGCCAUGGAGCGGAUCUGGAUGCUUUAUAGUUUCCUGGCCAGCAAUCCCUUGCCGGAGAUGCCUAGAAGAUUACUUGAAGCUCCUCUGACUACAGACAUUGUCUUCAGGACCCUUGAAAAGAUCAGUGCUGACUGCAGCCCUGAGGACAAGGAAUAUGCCAGGAUUCUACUGGAUUUUCUUUUAAAAGACCCUAUCACCUGGCUGACAGAUGUGCCAGAGAUUCUGGUGUUCAUCCAGAGAAAUCUGAAAAACAACAGCACAUCAGAUCAGGCGCCCUUCCUGUCGGUGCUUGAUGUGCUGGCACGCUGCUUUCCCAUGCAUGUGUUAGAAAGCAUAUUGACACAACUACCACACAGUGACAGGUACCAGCCCUGACAACCAUCAUGUUUGUUCCAUGUGAAGAGCAGGGCUCAGAGAUGUUCCCAGAGAUAGGCCUGCCUGAGCCAUGGUGCUGGGGUUGAGGCAGCCCUGCUGACAUAGCAUUGCUCUCUGUUUGCAGCGCUACUGUGGAGGUCUGGAAGAUGGUGCUUUCCCUGCCGGAAUCUUCCGAAAAAAUCCUGGAAGGACUGUGCAUAAUUCUCCAGAACAAAAAUUUGCACAGGAUCACCACAAUGGGGUCUGGCCUCCUUCAGCAGACU